rnacentral:SRP_RNA from 1 species
GCCAGGCGUGGUGGUGCACGCCUGUAAUCCCAGCUAGUUGGGAGGCUGAGGCAGGAGAAUUGCUUGAACCCAGGGGACGGAAGUUGCAGUGAGCCAAGAUCACACCACUAUACUCCAGCCUGGGUGACAGAGUAAGACUCUGUCUCAA